AUGACAGUCGAGCGGUAACAGGGGUAGCUUGCUACCCGCUGACGAGCGGCGGACGGGUGAGUAAUGCAUAGGAAUCUGCCCGGUAGUGGGGGAUAACCUGGGGAAACCCAGGCUAAUACCGCAUACGUCCUACGGGAGAAAGGGGGCUUCGGCUCCCGCUAUUGGAUGAGCCUAUGUCGGAUUAGCUAGUUGGUGAGGUAAUGGCUCACCA
rnacentral:rRNA from 1 species